rnacentral:rRNA from 2 species
GAGUUUGAUCAUGGCUCAGAUUGAACGCUGGCGGCAUGCCUUACACAUGCAAGUCGAACGGCAGCACGGGAGCUUGCUCCUGGUGGCGAGUGGCGAACGGGUGAGUAAUGCAUCGGAACGUAUCCUGGAGUGGGGGAUAACGUAGCGAAAGUUACGCUAAUACCGCAUAUUCUGUGAGCAGGAAAGCGGGGGACCUUCGGGCCUCGCGCUCUUGGAGCGGCCGAUGUCGGAUUAGCUAGUUGGUGAGGUAAAGGCUCACCAAGGCGACGAUCCGUAGCAGGUCUGAGAGGAUGAUCUGCCACACUGGAACUGAGACACGGUCCAGACUCCUACGGGAGGCAGCAGUGGGGAAUUUUGGACAAUGGGGGCAACCCUGAUCCAGCCAUGCCGCGUGAGUGAAGAAGGCCUCGGUUGU